AUAGUCAUGUUGGGUGUUAGGGCUUCAGUAUCUGAAUUUGGGGAGAACAUAAGUCCAUGACACAUGUGUACAAAACUUUCAUUGUGAUAUUAGUGUCAUAAUAAUAAUAUAUAACAACAUACAACAGAGCAACCAACAAGCUUAACACCUGAGAAAAGAUAGGUGCCUCCCAGAAGUAACAAACAUGAGUACUUGAUUACCUAGGGCACACAUAGCACAGACCAAGAUAUAAUCGCCUUGAAAGUGGAUGAAAAGAAUGCAGCUGAAACAUUUAUCAAAUUAUUGGAGGCCAAAUGUGAACACUAGUGAAGAUCAACUGUGGUUGGAGAAAUGAAGAACAGCAAAACUCUAACCCCGGGACAAGUACAAGAUUACUGAGAAAGCUUCACCCCACAAACUCAGGGGCACUAAGACUGAGGCUGAGCCGUAACGACAGAAUUUUCCCACUGUUAAAGCAAAUAAAUAUGGCCUGAGAAGGAUUUCUAUAUUUGAGUCCUUGUGGACUAACUGCAACCUAGCUUAACAGAGUAAGACCAUUUAAAGGGACCAAAAAUGGAUGAACAUACUUGGCACUAUGAACUAAAAGAUCUUUGGCUAAAGAAGAGAUGAAGACUCAUUCAACUCCUACAAGUGAAUUAAGGAGCUCUGAGAAGGCAAAGCCAGCCCAGGAGGGUGGACACACUAAGAACAAUGUGCCUUGUCCUGAUACACAGUUGUGGUAUAGGUAACAAAAUCUGAGUAUCCAACCUAAGAUGUUACCCCUCACCUCACCAGAAUACCUCCAAUCCCUUCCCUGGAAACACAGAAUAAAUUCCUAUAGAAAGUUAUAAAGCAGAAAAACAA
ensembl:lncRNA LINC02546 long intergenic non-protein coding RNA 2546